GAUGAACGCUAGCGAUAGGCCUAACACAUGCAAGUCGAGGGGCAUCACAUGAAGUAGCAAUACGGAUGGUGGCGACCGGCGCACGGGUGAGUAACACGUAUGCAACCUGCCUUCAACAAGGGGAUAACCCGUUGAAAGACGGACUAAUACCCUAUAACACAGGGGUCCCGCAUGGGGAUAUUUGUUAAAGGACAACCGGUUGAAGAUGGGCAUGCGUUCCAUUAGCUAGUUGGCGGGUAAGGCCCACCAAGGCAACGAUGGAUAGGGGAACUGAGAGGUUUAUCCCCCACACUGGUACUGAGACACGGACCAGACUCCUACGGGAGGCAGCAGUGAGGAAUAUUGGUCAAUGGACGCAAGUCUGAACCAGCCACGUCGUGUGAAGGAAGACGGCCCUACGGGUUGUAAACUUCUUUUGCAAGGGAAUAAAGUGGGCCACGUGUGGCCUUUUGCAAGUACCUUGCGAAUAAGGAUCGGCUAACUCCGUG
rnacentral:rRNA from 1 species